CGGCCCGCUGCUCGCUGCUCUCCACCCUCCCCCGAGCACCUCCCGCAGCCUGCCGAACGGCUAUGGCUAGUGGAUGCUGAGCACCCUCUAUUUUUUCCCUGUAGGUGCUAAAGCUCUGGAGCCCUCAGCGCGUCGGCGCCUAUGCCUGUGGAAGUUCUGCAGCCAGCUGACGUGUGCAGAGACACAGGACAACCUUUUCAAAACAAGACAGCAGUUAUUGGUCAAGCGGAAUACAGUAUUUUGGGGUCCUUAGAUUACAAAGGAACAGCAGAGUUUACAGCUAUGCGGUGCUGGCAACCCAACCUGCUUCUGGUUCAAAACAUCCAGGAGUCCAUCUCUCCCUCUGCAUGGGGCAGCAGUGCUUAGCACAAUGUCCUGACACCUCAUUCUUUGUGUCAAGCUCCAGUCAAGCUGGUGUCAAAUACUCUGCCCCUUGACUGCCUGUCAUUAAAAGUUAAUAUCCAAUCUUUGGUUUUCCAUUGUAUCUCCAAGGUAACACCAUUCAUGUGUUGUAUGCCGUGUCAGUCCCAGGAUAUUAGACAUACUAGGUGGGUGAGGUUAUAUCUUUCAUUGGACCAACUUCAGCUGGUGACAGAGACAAGCUUUCACGCUACACAGAGCUCUUCUUCUGGUCUGGGAAAGGAAUUCCCAGUAUCACAGGAAAGUGCAAGGUGGAACAAACAGCUUGUUCAGCAUGAGUAGUUAGCACGUAUUGUAAGGGACAGUGACAGCGUGGACUAGGUCUGAAGGCCUCGCAGCCCUGCCACACCCCGCCCCAGGAAAGGACAGUAAAGAGGUCCUCCGAGCUGCCAAGAGUGGCUGUGUGGGAAACAGCCAGUCGGGGUCCAGCAGGCUAGUAUAAGAAGAGCUGCAGGGCCAGAGUGAGUUCAGUUCCUUGCUGAAGCUGGAAGAACAUGGAUGGUGUGCCUGGCUGGCUGAGGGAGCUACAGGAGCCUGAACAGAGCAGUGCUGGCAGAGGCCAGGGGGAACACAACCGAGUUCCAGGCUGGCUGCUGGGACUCAACCAGGACAAGGCCACAAGGAGUCUGCAAGCAAGAGGAUGCAUGCCUAUAAAGAAUCAUCUGCAUAAAGAAAGGUCCCCUGGUGUGCAAACUUUACAAGAGCUGACAUGAAUGUGUAUCUGAGUUAGAGACCUGUCAGUCCAGCUUUCAAACAUUGUCACAGCUGCUACGUAAUGAGGCGGACAGGCUGAGGCUUUCUUCCAGUUGAGCGAACUGGAAUGCCCGUACUGGUGUGUUAACCAUUAGUGGGAUCUCUGUCUGAAGAAACCAAUGAAGACGUCACCCAGGAGUAUUGUGGCUGGCUAUUUAAUCUGACAGAGAACAAGAAGCUCAUCCUCAUGACAGGCGCUUACUCAAACUGCUCCAAUUCAGGACAUUUAGGGGCUUUUGCUAACAAAAGUCACUGUUCCCUUUGCAUUUCCAUUACUGUCAUGACUGAGACGAUGCUCCAUGCGCAUGAGGGACACUAACCAGCGCCUUUGGCUCUACUGCUGCCUAGACUGUACAAAAGUUUUGAGGGUGGUAAACUGGUAUGGAGGGAAUGCUUUCUAUGGGUUAGGCUGGCAAACAGAGGGCUAGAACUUCUGGGUUCUGUCCCUGGCUUUAACCUUAUUGCUCAUUUUACUCAUGGCUGCCUCAGUUUCUCCAUCUGUAGAUGGGGGAUGAGGACAUUUAGAUACCUCAGAAGGUCUUGUGAAACUUAAUCAAUGCUGAUAAAGUGCCUUGGAUAAAA